UACAGAGGUCUCAAGCGUUUGUUCGGAUUCAUUGGGCGUAAAGGGCGCGUAGGCGGUCAGCACAAGUCAGUUGUGAAAUCUCCGGGCUUAACUCGGAAAGGUCAACUGAUACUGUGCGACUAGAGUGCAGAAGGGGCAACUGGAAUUCUCGGUGUAGCGGUGAAAUGCGUAGAUAUCAGGAGGAACACCGGUGGCGAAGGCGGGUCUCUGGGCCGAUACUGACGCUGGAGGAGCGAAAGCGUGGGGAGCGAACAGG
rnacentral:rRNA from 1 species